rnacentral:lncRNA from 1 species
CUGUGACGUUUCGUCACCAUGAAAGCCAGAUGAGCAGACCGAGGACCAGAGAAGCCCCGGCAGCUGCUCCAGCUGGUGAUGGAGUGUUUGGGGCCGAGAUUCACACUCCGUGCAGGACACCACGGUCUACUUGUGCUCGUGUCUCUGAAUGUGAGAGAGGGAGAGACAUCCCAGGGCAGCGGGACCAGGGCAAGAGGGAGCAGAGGGAGUUCCAGCUUCCCUGGCACCAGCGUUUCCCAGCCGCCCUGCAUCUUGGCUUCACGGAAGGAGCCCUUCUGCGAGGCCCACCUCUUCUCCCUCCCUGCAAAUGCCGUGGGUCAAGGCCAGCUCGGUCUUGUUUCAAGAAGUAAAGCAAUAAUGCUCCUCCGAAGCUGACUGGGGGGAGCAGCAGCAGUGCAGCAGGUGGAGCUGCGAAAGGGGAGCUCUCGGGGUCCUAGACAAGCACCCCGAGUCUGGGGUCUCCAGGUGAGCCCCUGCAAGGCCAGCCUUGGACUAGUGGCACGUGGGGCGAGUUUUAUUCUUCCUUCACAAGCGGUCACCAGGGCUGGCAAAAUGUUGCACCACAAGGCUGCUGGCCAGCUAGGUGUCCUCCACUCACCAGACUCUCGGAAUUUGCGAGGUCCUCCGUUGCUAAUAACAAUAGGCCUGAUUUGUUGAGAGCCCGCCUGUGCCAGCCUGCGCCUCACACAAUUAUUAUCUGCGUUUUGCGCCAGUGAAAGCUGUGGCUGUGAGAAGUCAGAGUCGCAUGGAGAAUACGUGGAGCUGUGGGAUUUGAACCUUGGACAGUGCCAGGGCAGUGCCCUGGCCCUCUGCCCUGCAGGAGCCCCUCGGCUGCCAGUAGCCUGAGAUGCCUGCUGCCGGGCACCAUGGCCUGCCACUGACAGUUCCGGAUGGAGAACUGACUUGAGUUUGUGUCUCUACAGAUCCAGAGACGCGACCUGUCCAAGCUUUCCACUGGAGAGAGGAACGCUGAGGCUGGGUCCGUGCUGGGGCUGGGUCCGUGCUGAGGCUCACAGUCAAACGGUACCACCUGCAUCGGUGCUUUCCACACCUGAUCUCUCUUGAGCCUCAUGACAACUAUUAUCCACUUGAAGAGGGGGAAACUGAGGCUUAGAAAGCUCAAGCACCCUGCCAAAAGCCAUGGGGGGAGCGAGAACUCCCAUACAGGACUUCCGGCUCCCCGUCCCGCCUCCUCCCACCAUGCCCCAGAACUAGCACCCCCUGAGCACUUGCUUGAGCCACGGUGAGAUCCAGAACCCGGCCGGAGCCAGGCUUCGGCCAAGCCGCGGCCACGCUGCCAUCUGACAAGCCCGGGGCCUGUCCCAACAAGACUGAGGCCCGUGUGGAGACAACUGCACAGUCGUGACCGGUUGUCCUGACAGACCUGCUAGCACCUCCCGAGGCUGGGAGGGCGCUAAGGGGAGCUGGCCUGCCUGCCCGCCUGCUGCGGGCGGCACCUCCGGCGCCUGAGCUCCCAGUUUGGCCGCUAAAGCUAAAUUUUAGCUCCAAGUAAAAAUGUGUCUGAGUAUAAAGCUUUGAAGAUACGGUUUCUUAAUGAAAACGCUGAGUGAAGCCAAUUAGACUGGCAUGGGCAGUAAUCACUAUAAUAAGGGUAAUUGAGUUGGAUUUAUUAUAGCUGACGAUGGCUCUUUUCCCCUUAAGUCGAGAAAGAAAAUAAUUUACUGAUAUUAAAACAUGAUUGAAGUUUUCCUUCAAACCCUUGGGAAAUGGCUCGGUUUCUGGGACUUCAUCUCAAACGUGAGGCUGGUGAAUAACAAGACAAUGGCCACCUUUUUUUUUUUUUUUUUUUUUGAGACGGAGUCUUGCUCUGUCGCCCAGGCUGGAGUGCAGUGGCACAAUCUCAGCUCACUGCAACCUCCGCUUCCCAGGUUCAACCAAUU